UACGAAGGGGGCUAGCGUUGCUCGGAAUUACUGGGCGUAAAGCGCACGUAGGCGGAUUGUUAAGUCGGGGGUGAAAUCCUGGAGCUCAACUCCAGAACUGCCUUUGAUACUGAGGAGCUUGAGUCCGGGAGAGGUGAGUGGAACUGCGAGUGUAGAGGUGAAAUUCGUAGAUAUUCGCAAGAACACCAGUGGCGAAGGCGGCUCACUGGCCCGGUACUGACGCUGAGGUGCGAAAGCGUGGGGAGCAAACAGG
rnacentral:rRNA from 1 species